ACUUCCGGCGUUCUCCCGGCGGCGGUCAUUUUGGUGACCAUGGGUCGGUCGGCCUGAUCCGGUUAUGCAGCUCUUGGUCCGGCCCGAGGUUUCCAUGGCUUCAGAAGCAUUUCAUGAGCAAUGUAUAGGUUCCAUGUAGUUGUCCAACUGGAGUUGCAGGGAGAGAUGUGGGUGCCUGACAGGGCAGGCCUGACUCCAGCCAUAGCAAG